UGUCGGGGUGUAACCUAAGGUUAUUUACCCAUCUAAUGUCAGUUAUCUCAAUGUUGUAUUGUCAUUGGUUGUUGUGCUGACGAGCCAGUCAAUGUCACUCUUCUCUGUUAUGGGGGCGGGACGAGUGGUAAAGUUUGUGUGAAUCUGUGGGAGCGGACACAGAAGCUAAGUCCGAAGAGAGAGAUGUCGUAAGGCAAACGUGGUGUGGAUUUUGCAUCUAAGUGUAUCAUUGAGGUCGACUACCCGUGGUCCUGAUAUUACUUAUUUGUGAUCUGCAAGAGAAGCCGAUGGACGCUCUGAAAGGAGAGGGAGAGAGAGGUUUUGCCCGGAUGGACCCUGCUGUUUUCUCACCCCUGGCUGUUUUCUCACCCCUGGCUGUUUUCUCACCCCUGGCUGUUUUCUCACCCCUGGCUGUUUUCUCACCCCUGGCUGUUUUCUUACCCCUGACUGUCUUCACUACUGGUGAACUAACUGCCCGUUUCUGAUUGCCCCACUAACAAACUCAUUGGACUCGUGAGUACUAACUGGAACUAAAGUGUACGUAUUUUGUUUUAUGGCUCAGUUUGAGUGAAGCGGCCAUCAGUUGUAGGCCUCACCGCACCCGAACUUUGAAUCAGGCCUGCAACAAGCACCGUGCUACAGGUGUAGUGUGGACAGGUUAAAGUGUGUGUGUGUGUGUGUGUGUGUGUGCACA